AUCAUUCCCCCACCCCACCCCUUCUUUAGUCCCAUCUGAAGCAGGAACUUCUGUCUAUUUGGUUUAGGUCUAGGCAGGGUCAGCUUCAUUGCUUACGGGAUAGGAUUCAGCAGACUUGAUGCUAUGAUAGACUCUGGGCAAUCCGUAAGAUGCUGAUGGUGGUGACUUCCUAUGAGAACGUUUGCUUCUGGAAUCCAGCUGCCAGGCUGUCAUGAGGCUGGCACAAGCCUGCAGAGAGAUACAAGAGGACAGCCAUCCGUAACCCAGGAAGUGAGCCUUCUCCAGUCUCCGUCAUUCUGGUACCCUGGACUUGUAACAUUUCCAACUAUGAGCAAGGAAGGUUAAGGCACUGCACGGAUACCUACAUCAGCGAACUACCUUGGGAGUGAACUCUUCCCCAGUCAAGCUUCCUCAACAGAUGUUGGGGUGGCUCAGAGUCUGCACCCCUACCAAGCCUGCUCACGUUGCAGAUUUGUGAACUAAACAAAUGACCUCUGUUCUUGUAAGUUACUAAGUCUGGGGUGACUGGGUAGAUGACUUGUAACAGUUGUAGAUAUGUCUCUGUGUAUGAAGAAACAGCUUGGAAUGGGGCAUUUGUACUGAAAUUUCACCAGUCACACAGUGUCAAAACAA